CCUACGGGAGGCUGCAGUCGGGAAUCUUUCUCAAUGGGGGAAACCCUGAUGCAGCAACGCCGCGUGGAGGAUUAAGGUUUUCGGAUUGUAAACUCCUUUUCUUAUAGAAGAUAAUGACGGUAUCUAACGAAUAAGCACCGGCUAACUCCGUGCCAGCAGCCGCGGUAAUACGGAGGGUGCAAGCGUUACUCGGAAUCACUGGGCGUAAAGAGCGCGUAGGCGGGAUAGCAAGUCAGAUGUGAAAUCCUAUGGCUUAACCAUAGAACUGCAUUUGAUACUGUUAUUCUAGAGUAUGGGAGGGGUAGGUGGAAUUCUUGGUGUAGGAGUAAAAUGCGUAGAGAUCAAGAGGAAUACUCAUUGCGAAGGCGACCUGCUAGAACAUAACUGACGCUGAUGCGCGAAAGCGUGGGGAGCAAACAGGAUUAGAUACCCGGGUAGUC
rnacentral:rRNA from 1 species